AGACUGUCAAGGUCAUUAUAGGCUUCGAAAGUUGCCAUAGACCAUGACAGUAUUACCAACAGGAAACGCAUGGCAUAGACUAUUGUCAUACCGAACUCCUUGGUGAUUAUAUCUGUUUGAUUAUAAUUCAUCUUUAGCAUAUUAGCGGUCUGCGUAAAAUUGUUGUCAUACAAUGGUAUGCAAAAUGGUGCUCCU
rnacentral:ncRNA from 1 species